GGGAUCUAUAGAGAAUCCCAUAUUAGUAGAGAAUAGAGAAUUAAUCUACGCCCUUAAUUUUGUAACAUCCAACGGCAAUUAUGAUUUAAGAGGAUUGAAUUAAAAAAAUUGAACAAAUAUUAAUAAAAACAAUUAAAAAUCGAAAAAGGGUAAAAUUGUACUGGGGAGAAAUCAAGAGACCUAAAAUUACGCCUCAUUUCCGCCACGUUCAGUGAAAAACAAUGAAGAUGCGAUCCACCAUUGUUUUCAUUUUAUGCGGUGGUGAUUUGUUGAAGGCGACGUGAUGAACUUGUUCUCCGGCGAAAGUUGUUGGUUUUCGUUGUUAGGCGCUUCCGCCUCCCUCUUCCGCCACAGGUGAAGCCACGGCCACCUCCUCUGUCCUGGACUUAACAGCACCGGCGGAGCCGCUGCCUCCCCUAGCCACCCCUCUGUCUCUCUUUCCCCCCCACCCCUCUCGUCGCUUCCGGUGAUAGUAGGCAACCGACACCAAGCUUUUGGAAUAACAUGUUUUUACAUUUGAUUAACAUUUUUUAUUGGGUAAAAUAGGUGAUAGAUCAUAGAAUAGAGAUAGUGCGCAACCGCCUUUUUUUCUUCAUAUUUUGAUCAAACAUAUUCUGAAUCAUCUUUAUUGAUAUCAUUUUUAUCAUUCAUUUA